UCGCGAGGGGCAAGGGGCUGUUCGGAAGAAGAUUGUCAGGACGUUCUACAUAGAUGUGGAUGAAAGACUACAGAAGGAAGGAGCAACAAACGUCAAAAACAAAACCAUGGCUAUAAACUCUGCUGGGUUGCGACAUAAUAAUGGAUUGUGGAUUCGGUUUACCGCGUGGUGACCAGCGUAAAACACAUGCAUAAUAAUUACGCAAUAUUAUAGAAUGUCGGGGGCGGGAAGGGAAGAGAAUAAAAAUUUGCAUCCCACACAGUAAGGGUAAGUAAUAUUUUGUGACUUGUUUUUUAGGUAGAUCAUGUGAUCAAGGUCUUUUAUUCCUCUUAGAAGAUGCAUCCCUUACUACUUUAAUCCAGUCUCUUCCCCACCAUGUCCUUGAAAGUGUACUUUACCAGUGGCUUCCUUCUUUGCAGAAAUUCCUUUUCAACCUCACCAAGUAUUUUUCUUGACUUUAUUUCUUAAGAUAAGUGAUUUGCCUGAAUAACCUCUUUUAAAUUUCUUGAUGUUUCAUCUGUUUGCU
rnacentral:lncRNA from 1 species